UAGAAUGGCAUUCAUUAAGUCUUAACGUUUUCCAAGAGUCAUUAACUCAGAUGGGUCAGAGUCCAAGCCGGAUUUUCUUCUGAGGUGCAAAACAUUGUGGAGUAAGAGGAACUGUCAGGGAUCUGUUCUUGCAUGCUGUUGCUGAAGAAAUUAGGAGUUGUAUCAGAGACAUUCACUAGAUUUUUUCAUUGGUAGGAAAGAGCCAAAAAGGAAAAGCUGGACAAGGGAGACAGCAGGGUGUAUCUCCAAGGGAUGAAUCUGAAAGACGUUUGGUCCUGCUCCCAAGGGAUGUCUUUAUGCCUGCUCCCGUGUUGGCAGACCUGAGGCUGCUGUUUGCAUCUCUAGCAGCAGACAGAUCAGGAAUUGUUGAACUUCUAGACAAAUAAGUUAAAGCUGUCAUUCAACGUGCAUACAACUGGAAAGUGUCCAUCUAGAAAGUACAUUUAAGCAUUCCCUGGAACUUCAUUAAUGCUUUUUGUGGUAUAGUGCUAUCACCU